CAAGUAUAAAAGGGACCAACCCAGCAGAUCAGGGCUGACCACUGGAGAGGAAGGUGUGCUGCAGGCUCCUGCGGAAGGACCGCUGGCACUUCAUGAUGCGGAGGCCAGCCAGUUAGUGAUGACCCAUGAACCCCAGAGUCUGGGCGCCCCCUGAGUGACUGUGGGAAUCCCAAGACAGCACACCACGGAGAAACAAAUACUUUGCAAGAUUGUGGCUCAGCCUUUGCUAACCCAGUCUGAUGUGUAGACAGCAAUCAACAUUCUAGUCACUGCUAAACUACAUUAUUGCAAUGCAUUACAUUGUAGUCUCUUAGAAAGCUCUCUGUACAAGUGUCAAUGCAGAAUGCCACAGGCUACUACAUUUCAUUUCCUAUCCAUGAAUUCCUAACAAAGACAACUUUUCACAGCCUGAUCACCAAAUCAAAGAACAGAAACCAUGGGCCAGAUCCUCAGAUGGCGUAAAUUGGUGAUAUUCUCCUGAAGUCUCUCAGACUAUUCAUGUACUUAAAGUUAAGCAUGUGUUUCUGUUUUACUGGAUUAAGGACUUUGGCAGAAGCACCAAGCAAAUGUGCUAAUCCCACACUCCCAAAUCACCUCUCAGGUGCCAAAAGCUCCAGCUGUCCCUACUCAGCUGCCAAAACGAUCAGCUUCCCCUUACAACUUCCACAAUGUUGUCUAUAGAAAACUCUGCAGCCUAUUUGAGAACUGAAAAUGUUGGACAGCAUAAAAUAACUUGAAUGGAAUA